rnacentral:rRNA from 1 species
GACGAACGCUGGCGGCGUGCCUAAUACAUGCAAGUCGAACGAACAGAUGGGAGCUUGCUCCCUGAUGUUAGUGGCGGACGGGUGAGUAACACGUGGGUAACCUGCCUGUAAGAUUGGGAUAACUUCGGGAAACCGAAGCUAAUACCGGAUAAUAUAUGAAACCGCAUGGUUUCAUAUUGAAAGAUGGCUUUUGCUAUCACUUACAGAUGGACCCGCGGCGCAUUAGCUAGUUGGUGAGGUAACGGCUCACCAAGGCAACGAUGCGUAGCCGACCUGAGAGGGUGAUCGGCCACACUGGGACUGAGACACGGCCCAGACUCCUACGGGAGGCAGCAGUAGGGAAUCUUCCGCAAUGGACGAAAGUCUGACGGAGCAACGCCGCGUGAGCGAAGAAGGCCUUCGGGUCGUAAAGCUCAGUUGUUAGGGAAGAACAAGUACCGUUCGAAUAGGGCGGUACCUUGACGGUACCUGACGAGAAAGCCACGGCUAACUACGUGCCAGCCGCCGCUGUAAUAC